rnacentral:rRNA from 1 species
GAACGUGAAAUGUAGCAAUACAGAGUAAAGUGGCGUACGGGUGAGAAACGCGUAGGUAAUCUACCUGAGUGUCCGGAAUAACCUGCCGAAAGGCGGGCUAAUACUGGAUAGAGCGAUGGGAUCCGUAAUUGGGUCUUUCGGGAAAGGGAGGGAACAAUCUCCUUCGCACUCAGAUGAGCCUGCGUCUGAUUAGCUAGUUGGUGGGGUAACGGCCCACCAAGGCGAUGAUCGGUAGCUGGUCUGAGAGGAUGAUCAGCCACACUGGAACUGAAACACGGUCCAGACUCCUACGGGAGGCAGCAGUGGGGAAUCUUGCGCAAUGGGCGAAAGCCUGACGCAGCCACGCCGCGUGAGUGAAGAAGGCCUUCGGGUUGUAAAGCUAUGACGGGCGGGACGAAAACUUUUAAGGUUAACAGCCUUAGAAAUUGACGGUACCGCCAAAGGAAGCACCGGCUAACUUCGUG